rnacentral:lncRNA from 1 species
GGCGCGCACCCGUCGGCGCCGAGCGCGCAGCCUGCUCCACCGCCGCCUCUUGGUCCCGCCGCCGCCGCUGCCGCCGCCGCCGGGCAGAGGCCGGGGACCGGAGAAAGGAGGAGCGGAGAAGGAGAAGGAGGAGAGCACGGCCUGGCUGGGACAGAAGCGGUGGGACCCUGGGAGGCCUCCGCUGUGCCCGUGCCGCGCUCCUCGGGACCAGCGCGUCGCACACAAAGGGGCUGCCGAGCCAGAGCCACCAGCGGCCUCAGGGCACCGUGGGGAGCGCGCAGCUAGGGGGCGCUGUGGCGCACCCCGCCCCGCAGCCCCGCCCCCGGCCCUCCCCGGCCCCACCCCACUCCCACCGCCCUCUCCGCGGCCGUCCCCACCCCUAUCUCCGCGACCCCCACUCCUCCUCGGCUGUUCCCCAACCCUGUCACUGUGCUCCCCUCCCUACUCCCGGCCCGUAGUGGAGGUGACUUUCCUGCGCAGCGCCGCUUCUGAGGGCGGAGAACCCACAGGGAGUGCGACCCCUUUGCACGCUCUGGACGCCCUAUAGGGCUCUUGGCAGUCCACGAAAGACCUGGAGUCCGCCUCCCCAUUUCUCCGGUCGGUGAGUGGCAGGAGGAAAUCGCCAAACAUGUUUUCCCGCUUUGCCUCCCCAACUCGGAAACUUGCAACUUGCCGUGUCCUGGAGGUUGAGACAAUUUGGGGUCUCUUGGCUGCCGUCCAACAGAUUUAUCUCUGAGGGCAGUGUCCUUGGUGAGAGGUCCAAGUAGGUGUGGGCGACAUUGUCCUCCAUCUCAUGAGGGAGCAGCCCUGCACACUAGGGCCCAAAACUCUGCGAAGGAGCUUGGAAGUUCUUCAUCCGUUCCACUUGUUUUGCUACUCCACACACCCUUCUAGGACAUGUUGAUUGCCAACUGCUCUGUGCAGCUUUCCCAUAGCUGUCUGUUCCCGUGCAUUUCGGAGCACCAAGCAAAUACGAGCAGAGAGACCUGGAAAAAAAAAUGAUGAAGACAGUAUUAAUGAUAAAAUUAACAUGGCUGAGUGAAUUGUCAAUGCAAGUUCCUUUACUAACUCUUUGUUAAGUUUUGCUUUGUACUCCUUACAUCCUCUUUCUCUUAAGCCAUUGUUUUAAUUUCUUCUCGUUAUCAUUUUUAAAAGUAACAGAAAUACAGCUUUCUUCCUACCUUCACGAUUGACUUGGUGGAGGUUGGGUUGCAAAGAGGAAGCAGUAAGAAAAAAUAAUUAUUCUAUACAUUCACAAGUCCUUCAAGGCACAAAAUAAAAGUAAGAAAUAGAAAAUAUGUCCUUUCUCCUAAUAAAGGUCUUUAUAAUAAAAUUUAAAUGAAGUUUUGUGUUUCAUAACAGCUUCCCAAAUACUGUUGUAGAUACUAAAAUGUGCCUGUAUGUAUUUCCUUCCACAAUAAUAAUAGUAAUAAUAAACUUUUUUAGGUCCAAAUUAAACAUUUCUCAGCUUAAAUUUCUAUCCUCAAUCCAACAUUUAUUAUAUCAAAACUUGAUUUUUAAAAAUAAAACUUUCUUGGAAUUCAUCAUUGAUGUCUGUUUGAUGGCCUCGUGAACAUCAGGAAGAUGAAAUGAAAUGGUUCAAGACUGGAACAAUACCAUUAUCUGCAUCUUGACUCCUGGGAGAUAAUGAUAUCUCCUGCUUUCCUCUACAGACCUACCAGUUUUCUCUGCUUUAAGGGAAAAUCCAAAUGCAUGAGACCUGUGCAUUCUUCUACAUAAUCAAGAGUCUGGUUUCUUCCAUCGGAGUGUAUGGAGUUAAAGUGGUAUACUGUACAUGGCAUGGUGUGAUAGGUGGGAAUAUGAGCUACUGGGGGAAAAAGUUCUUACUUCUAGCCACUUAUACAAAGAGAGGCCAUCUCAGUGUAAUCUGAAAAAAUGCUCACUUUAUAAUGCUGUAUCCAAGGCCCAUCAAAAACUAAAUGGAUGUAUUUGUACUAAAAGUUGGGGAAAGUUGAAUAUCUAAACCUCUGAGCAAAUCUUUCUUAAUUUAGAAAAUAAAAUAGAGCAUCAUUGUAAUACUUUUCAGUUUCCUGGACAUUCAACUCCA